rnacentral:rRNA from 1 species
AGCGGCGGACGGGUGAGUAAUGCUUAGGAAUCUGCCAUUUAGUGGGGGACAACAUUCCGAAAGGAAUGCUAAUACCGCAUACGUCCUACGGGAGAAAGCAGGGGAUCUUCGGACCUUGCGCUAAAUGAUGAGCCUAAGUCGGAUUAGCUAGUUGGUGGGGUAAAGGCCUACCAAGGCGACGAUCUGUAGCGGGUCUGAGAGGAUGAUCCGCCACACUGGGACUGAGACACGGCCCAGACUCCUACGGGAGGCAGCAGUGGGGAAUAUUGGACAAUGGGCGGAAGCCUGAUCCAGCCAUGCCGCGUGUGUGAAGAAGGCCUUUUGGUUGUAAAGCACUUUAAGCGAGGAGGAGGCUACCUAGAUUAAUACUCUGGGAUAGUGGACGUUACUCGCAGAAUAAGCACCGGCUAACUCUGUGCCAGCAGCCGCGGUAAUACAGAGGGUGCGGGCGUUAAUCGGAUUUACUGGGCGUAAAGCGUGCGUAGGCGGCUUUUUAAGUCGGAUGUGAAAUCCCCGAGCUUAACUUGGGAAUUGCAUUCGAUACUGGGAAGCUAGAGUAUGGGAGAGGAUGGUAGAAUUCCAGGUGUAGCGGUGAAAUGCGUAGAGAUCUGGAGGAAUACCGAUGGCGAAGGCAGCCAUCUGGCCUAAUACUGACGCUGAGGUACGAAAGCAUGGGGAGCAAACAGGAUUAGAUACCCUGGUAGUCCAUGCCGUAAACGAUGUCUACUAGC